rnacentral:rRNA from 1 species
UACGGAGGGUGCAAACGUUGCUCGGAAUCAUUGGGCGUAAAGAGCUCGUAGGCGGUCUGUCGCGUCGGUCGUGAAAACCUGCAGCUUAACUGUGGGCGUGCGGUCGAUACGGGCAUGACUGGAGUUCGGCAGGGGAGACUGGAAUUCCUGGUGUAGCGGUGAAAUGCGCAGAUAUCAGGAGGAACACCGGUGGCGAAGGCGGGUCUCUAGUACGGUACUGACGCUGAGACGCGAAAGCGUGGGGAGCGAACAGG